CCUGCCUUGGAGUGGGGAAUAACAGCUGGAAACAGCUGCUAAUACCGCAUGAUGCAGUUGAGUCGCAUGGCUCUGACUGCCAAAGAUUUAUCGCUCUGAGAUGGACUCGCGUCUGAUUAGCUAGUUGGUGGGGCAACGGCCCACCAAGGCGACGAUCAGUAGCCGGACUGAGAGGGUGGACGGCCACAUUGGGACUGAGACACGGCCCAAACUCCUACGGGAGGCAGCAG
rnacentral:rRNA from 1 species